AUAUUUUAUUUUAUAACUACUAAUGGUUUGAAUAUAGUAAUUAUGUUUAGUAAACAAAAUACUUAAUAUAAUAAUUGGGAAUUUGGUUUUUUUUUUUUUUAAAUUGUUAUAUACGCAACUUUCAUGUUUUCGCUUACUUGUAAGUUGUACGCAUUACACAAAAAUGUUAUUAAUGGAUUUGCAAUUUAUGCGUUGGAUGGUGUUGAGACGAAAUCCCCUUUGGGAGAGUGAGGUACACAUGGUAUAAUUUUAGCUCCCCCUAAAAUGUAUAUCUAGUUAUAGGCCUAAUACUCAAAUAUUUACGAGUAUAUCACUGAAAAUAUUUUAGAAUAUCUAACUAUUAUUAUUUUUGCGCAACUGGGUACAGUUAGCAAAAUAACUCGGAUGUGUUGUGCAAAAACCGCGGACACAAUUCAGUUAUCACGACGUAUAUUUUCGUUUUUAGGUAUGCAAUUCAUAUGCAUUCUUGUUAUUAAUUAAUUUAAUCGAUCCCUUGACCAACUCAUGAAACGGUAGAAAAGUUCCGGGCAUA